rnacentral:rRNA from 1 species
GUUAAGCGACUAAGCGUACACGGUGGAUGCCCUGGCAGUCAGAGGCGAUGAAGGACGUGCUAAUCUGCGAUAAGCGUCGGUAAGGUGAUAUGAACCGUUAUAACCGGCGAUUUCCGAAUGGGGAAACCCAGUGUGAUUCGUCACACUAUCAUUAACUGAAUCCAUAGGUUAAUGAGGCGAACCGGGGGAACUGAAACAUCUAAGUACCCCGAGGAAAAGAAAUCAACCGAGAUUCCCCCAGUAGCGGCGAGCGAACGGGGAGGAGCCCAGAGCCUGAAUCAGUGUGUGUGUUAGUGGAAGCGUCUGGAAAGGCGCGCGAUACAGGGUGACAGCCCCGUACACAAAAAUGCACAUGCUGUGAGCUCGAUGAGUAGGGCGGGACACGUGGUAUCCUGUCUGAAUAUGGGGGGACCAUCCUCCAAGGCUAAAUACUCCUGACUGACCGAUAGUGAACCAGUACCGUGAGGGAAAGGCGAAAAGAACCCCGGCGAGGGGAGUGAAAAAGAACCUGAAACCGUGUACGUACAAGCAGUGGGAGCACGCUUAGGCGUGUGACUGCGUACCUUUUGUAUAAUGGGUCAGCGACUUAUAUUCUGUAGCAAGGUUAACCGAAUAGGGGAGCCGAAGGGAAACCGAGUCUUAACUGGGCGUUAAGUUGCAGGGUAUAGACCCGAAACCCGGUGAUCUAGCCAUGGGCAGGUUGAAGGUUGGGUAACACUAACUGGAGGACCGAACCGACUAAUGUUGAAAAAUUAGCGGAUGACUUGUGGCUGGGGGUGAAAGGCCAAUCAAACCGGGAGAUAGCUGGUUCUCCCCGAAAGCUAUUUAGGUAGCGCCUCGUGAAUUCAUCUCCGGGGGUAGAGCACUGUUUCGGCAAGGGGGUCAUCCCGACUUACCAACCCGAUGCAAACUGCGAAUACCGGAGAAUGUUAUCACGGGAGACACACGGCGGGUGCUAACGUCCGUCGUGAAGAGGGAAACAACCCAGACCGCCAGCUAAGGUCCCAAAGUCAUGGUUAAGUGGGAAACGAUGUGGGAAGGCCCAGACAGCCAGGAUGUUGGCUUAGAAGCAGCCAUCAUUUAAAGAAAGCGUAAUAGCUCACUGGUCGAGUCGGCCUGCGCGGAAGAUGUAACGGGGCUAAACCAUGCACCGAAGCUGCGGCAGCGACACUGUGUGUUGUUGGGUAGGGGAGCGUUCUGUAAGCCUGCGAAGGUGUGCUGUGAGGCAUGCUGGAGGUAUCAGAAGUGCGAAUGCUGACAUAAGUAACGAUAAAGCGGGUGAAAAGCCCGCUCGCCGGAAGACCAAGGGUUCCUGUCCAACGUUAAUCGGGGCAGGGUGAGUCGACCCCUAAGGCGAGGCCGAAAGGCGUAGUCGAUGGGAAACAGGUUAAUAUUCCUGUACUUGGUGUUACUGCGAAGGGGGGACGGAGAAGGCUAUGUUGGCCGGGCGACGGUUGUCCCGGUUUAAGCGUGUAGGCUGGUUUUCCAGGCAAAUCCGGAAAAUCAAGGCUGAGGCGUGAUGACGAGGCACUACGGUGCUGAAGCAACAAAUGCCCUGCUUCCAGGAAAAGCCUCUAAGCAUCAGGUAACAUCAAAUCGUACCCCAAACCGACACAGGUGGUCAGGUAGAGAAUACCAAGGCGCUUGAGAGAACUCGGGUGAAGGAACUAGGCAAAAUGGUGCCGUAACUUCGGGAGAAGGCACGCUGAUACGUAGGUGAAGUCCCUCGCGGAUGGAGCUGAAAUCAGUCGAAGAUACCAGCUGGCUGCAACUGUUUAUUAAAAACACAGCACUGUGCAAACACGAAAGUGGACGUAUACGGUGUGACGCCUGCCCGGUGCCGGAAGGUUAAUUGAUGGGGUCAGCGCAAGCGAAGCUCUUGAUCGAAGCCCCGGUAAACGGCGGCCGUAACUAUAACGGUCCUAAGGUAGCGAAAUUCCUUGUCGGGUAAGUUCCGACCUGCACGAAUGGCGUAAUGAUGGCCAGGCUGUCUCCACCCGAGACUCAGUGAAAUUGAACUCGCUGUGAAGAUGCAGUGUACCCGCGGCAAGACGGAAAGACCCCGUGAACCUUUACUAUAGCUUGACACUGAACAUUGAGCCUUGAUGUGUAGGAUAGGUGGGAGGCUUUGAAGUGUGGACGCCAGUCUGCAUGGAGCCGACCUUGAAAUACCACCCUUUAAUGUUUGAUGUUCUAACGUUGACCCGUAAUCCGGGUUGCGGACAGUGUCUGGUGGGUAGUUUGACUGGGGCGGUCUCCUCCUAAAGAGUAACGGAGGAGCACGAAGGUUGGCUAAUCCUGGUCGGACAUCAGGAGGUUAGUGCAAUGGCAUAAGCCAGCUUGACUGCGAGCGUGACGGCGCGAGCAGGUGCGAAAGCAGGUCAUAGUGAUCCGGUGGUUCUGAAUGGAAGGGCCAUCGCUCAACGGAUAAAAGGUACUCCGGGGAUAACAGGCUGAUACCGCCCAAGAGUUCAUAUCGACGGCGGUGUUUGGCACCUCGAUGUCGGCUCAUCACAUCCUGGGGCUGAAGUAGGUCCCAAGGGUAUGGCUGUUCGCCAUUUAAAGUGGUACGCGAGCUGGGUUUAGAACGUCGUGAGACAGUUCGGUCCCUA